rnacentral:rRNA from 1 species
CUACGGGCCGCAGCAGUGGGGAAUCUUGCGCAAUGGGCGAAAGCCUGACGCAGCAACGCCGCGUGCGGGAUGAAGGCCUUCGGGCUGUAAACCGCUUUCAGCAGGAACGAAAAUGACGGUACCUGCAGAAGAAGGAGCGGCCAACUACGUGCCAGCAGCCGCGGUGACAGGUAGGCUCCAAGCGUUGUCCGGAUUUAUUGGGCGUAAAGAGCUCGUAGGCGGUUGAGUAAGUCGGGUGUGAAAACUCUGGGCUUAACCCGGAGACGCCAUCCGAUACUGCUCUGACUAGAGUUCAGGAGGGGAGUGGGGAAUUCCUAGUGUAGCGGUGAAAUGCGCAGAUAUUAGGAGGAACACCGGUGGCGAAGGCGCCACUCUGGACUGAAACUGACGCUGAGGAGCGAAAGCAUGGGUAGCAAACAGGAUUAGAUACCCUCGUAGUC